rnacentral:rRNA from 1 species
UACCAGCACCCCGAGUGGUCGGGACGAUUAUUGGGCCUAAAGCAUCCGUAGCCGGUCUUGCAAGUCCUCCGUUAAAUCCAGCUGCUUAACGGAUGGGCUGCGGAAGAUACUACAAGACUAGGAGGCGGGAGAGGCAAGCGGUACUCAGUGGGUAGGGGUAAAAUCCUCUGAUCCAUUGAAGACCACCAGUGGCGAAGGCGGCUUGCCAGAACGCGCUCGACGGUGAGGGAUGAAAGCUGGGGGAGCAAACCGG